AUGUCUGCAAUUGAGUCCAAUCCAGAUAUAACUUUUAACUUGGCCGUUGCGAGGUUCAGAGACUUCUGUUAUGAUCAGCAUAGAAGUUCACAUGUGGAUAGCCCCAAAGCAAAUGAAUCAAGUUACAUGGUGUCAAGUCACCACCCUCAUAGGGGCGGAGCUUCAAGGGACAGCCCAAAGGGGAGUACAUGUUUUAAUUGUGGCAAGUUUGGUCACAUUGCUAGAUUUUGUCGCCUACCAAAGAAAGAUGGUACGCCAUCUGGUGGCAAUAAGCAAGUAAAGCAAGAAAAGAAAGUUUUUACAAAUAAGCCUGCUGGAAACAGACAAUCACAUAGAGGCUUGAUGGCUGCUCAUUCUAUUUUAACAAUUAAUGAGAACAAAGACAAAGAAGAUGUUUGGAUUGUUGAUUCAGGUUGUACACAGCAUAGCUCAAAUAACUCUGAGAAUUUUGUUGAACUGAAUCAAGGAGUUAAAGGUGAUUUGAGAAUAGCUAAUGGAGAUUUAUUGAAAAUAAAAGGAUUUGGAAAGUGUAUUGUGAAAUGUAGUUUGCCUGAUGAGGUUGCUGUAACUGAGAUUUCAGAUGUUCCUUACAUUGAUUCACUUCAAUGCAAUAUGCUAAGUGUUAGUUCCAUGGACAAGAAAGGAUUUGCAAUUCAUUUUGAGAAUGGUCAAUGUGAUAUUACAAAAGAAGGUGUUUUAUAUGACAAAACUUUUGAAAAGAAUGGAAUGUAUGAAUUGUGUGUUUCAUCUGAGCAAGCCAACAUGGUUAAGACACAUGUUGGUGGAAAGAAUCUUGAAAUUUGGCAUAGACGUUUUGGUCAUAGAGAUGCAAAUGCAAUUCUGCAGUUGCAGAAGGGCAAUUUGGCUACAAACCUUGAGAUAAGCAAUACAGCUUUUGAUAAAUGUGUAGUCUGUAUUCAACAGAAAGCAGUGAGUCCCUUUUUUCCAGUCAACACAGAAAAGAGAUCUACUAAGAUUCUAGAUUUAAUUCACAGCGAUAUUUGUGGUCCCUUUAAGACUUCAUUUGGAGAAAAUAAUUAUGCAGUUAUUUUCUUAGAUGCUUUUUCAAGGUUUUGUGUUUCUUAUAUUCUGAAAGACAAAUCUGAAGCUCAAGACAUGUUGCAGAGAUAUGUUGCUAUGGUGAAGACUAAGUUUGGAUGCACACCAAAAGCUAUUCAAACUGACUGUGGUAGUGAGUAUACUUCACAUCGCACACAGAGAUUCCUGGAAGAGAAUGGAAUUCAGCAUAUUAAGAGUGUUCCUUAUACUCCUCAGCAAAAUGGAGUGGCUGAAAGGAAGCUUAGGUCUCUAGUUGAGAUGACAAGGUGUAUGUUAAAAGAUAUAAAUCUUCCAGAUUGCCUCUAG
rnacentral:lncRNA from 1 species